UAAAUAUAGCUAAUUGGGAAUAAUACAUAUAUAUAUUUAAUAAGUCUAACGUAAAAUGUAUAAAUAGUGUUAUCUAUGAGAUUUAUUUUAAUUUGCUUAACUCAAAUUAAUUUGGCUUCGGAGCGCGCCAUUUGCACAUGUGCAAGACAAGCUCAGAGAAGAACAUGCUCAGAGAGCGUGUGUGUCCGCCAUUUUCUCGUCUGCCGCCGAAAGGACUGCUAUGUUGUAUUCGUUAUUGGCCUGAUGAUCUACCUGACUGAAGAUACAGACUCUUUCUUCAAGGAGUAUGUGGCCACUGAGGAUGCAGAAAAUUCAAUCCCAAACACAGUCAUGGGGAUUUAAAAAAUCCAAAGAGGAGAUUGUACAGAAGACAUCGGAGUUGUGAUCGAGGGCAUUAAGGUUUUGAGCAACCUAGACUGCGUGAUUCUGGCAUUCAUCAAUCGGUCUCAUUUAUGCUCUUGAUCUUAGUUUUCCUGAAAACCUCAAGUACACCUUCGACUCUCGUAAGAGAACCUAAUGAACUUUGAUGGACUUGAAUGCAAAGAUCCUGCAACUCAAAAUCAAGCUGUUUGCAUGAGAUGUGCAAUAAUGUGAAUUAUUUGAAAAUACAUGCACGUGCACACACACAAAAAAGUACAUUUCCUUUUUAUACAUUCUUACAUGCUUUUUCUUACACACUUUUUGUGUAUUUCUAGUUAGUCAUUUAUGUCUUUUUAGGGAUAGUUCACCCAAAAAUGAUAAUUGUCAUCAUUUACAGACCCUGGGGUUGUUCCAAACCUGUAUAAAAUGUCUUUAUUCUGUUGAACACAAAGGAAGAUGUGUUAAAGAAUAUGGGAAACUGAACUGUUCUGGGCCACCAUUGAUUUCCAUAGUUGUUGUUUUUUUCUUCCUACUAUGGAAGUCAAUGGUGGCCCAGAACUGUUCAGUUUCCCAUAUUCUUUAACAUAUAGAUCCUUUGUGUUCAACAGAAUAAAGACAUUUGUACAUGUUUGGAACAAACUGAGGAUGAGUAAAUGAUGACAAAAUUUUCAUUUAUCCCUUUUUUAAGUUCACCCAGAUAUUAAAAUUAUGUCAUUAAUAACUCACCCUCAUGUCGUUCCAAACCUGUAAGACCUCCGUAUAUCUUCGGAACACAGUUUAAGAUAUUUUAGAUUUAGUCCGAGAGCUCUCAGUCCCUCCAUUGAAGCUGUGUGUACGGUCUACUGUACAUGUCCAGAAAGGUAAGAAAAACAUCAUCAAAGUAGUCCAUGUGACAUCAGAGGGUCAGUUAGAAUAUUUUGAAGCAUCGAAAAUACAUUUUGGUCCAAAAAUAGCAAAAACUACCACUUUAUUCAGCAUUGUCUUCAAUUCCGGGUCUGUUGUGAGCGCGUCGUAUGUAUUUUCGAUGCUU